ACGUAGGGGGCAAGCGUUGUCCGGAAUCACUGGGCGUAAAGAGUCCGUAGGCGGCUGGGUGAGUCUCGCGUGAAAGCCCCAGGCUCAACUUGGGGACUGCGUGGGAUACUGCCCGGCUUGAGGGCGGCAGAGGCAAGCGGAACGUUGCAAGUAGCGGUGAAAUGCAUUGAUAUGCAACGGAGCACCAAUGGCGAAGGCAGCUUGCUGGGCCGUUUCUGACGCUGAGGGACGAAGGCCAGGGUAGCAAACGG
rnacentral:rRNA from 1 species